UACGUAGGGUGCGAGCGUUAAUCGGAAUUACUGGGCGUAAAGCGUGCGCAGGCGGUUUUGUAAGCCAGGUGUGAAAUCCCCGGGCUCAACCUGGGAAUGGCAUUUGGGACUGCAAGGCUGGAGUGCGGCAGAGGAGACUGGAAUUCCUGGUGUAGCAGUGAAAUGCGUAGAUAUCAGGAGGAACACCGGUGGCGAAGGCAGGUCUCUGGGCUGACACUGACGCUCAUGCACGAAAGCGUGGGGAGCAAACAGG
rnacentral:rRNA from 1 species